CAUGUUUUUCUUACAAUGAUUUUUGCAAGGAACGAUGGUGCUGAUUUGAGCUCAAACAUCACUUUACUAAAUCAUCUUUCACCGACAUCAUUUAAAUUUCAUACUUCAUCAUAUGUAAAACGCUAUAUUCGCACGUAAGUUGUAUCGUAUCCUCAAUGAGCAAAAACAAGUUAAUUAAAGACAUGAUCAAGAAGCAUGCUCUUCUAGCAUAUAAAGUUUCAAAACUUUAAAAAUCAGUUCGUUUAAGAAAGAAAACAUAUAUUGUUAAAUAUAAUAGUCGGUAUAAGCGUUGAUAUAAUGAUCAAGAACAAGAUCAUUAAUAUUUCAUUAAAUGUAUCAGUAAUAUAAUGAUAUUCACUUUGAUGUAAA